CACAGACCUUGCAGCACCCGCAGCCGUCCAGGACCAGCCCCACGCCCGGGGAGCACUGCGGGACAGUCGCCGGGCACUGGCAGACGGCAGGGCAGAGUGAGCCCAGAGCCUACGGAGCAGAAUGGAGCGGGGCCGUCAGCGUCGGUGAGCGCUGCUCCUCAAAGAUGGGAAGGGAGGGAGGAGAAGCAGCAGCAGCUCCGAAGCUCGGAGGAGCAAAGCCCAAACAUCCCAUCGCCUGCCGAGAGGGUUACAGAAAGGACCUGUUUCACGAGGACUCUACUCAUGGCUCCGGUGGUUUUGUGGUUCAGGAAAGGUGAUGGGAUGAAAGCUCCAGGCCCUCAUUGCCCGGAACUUGGUCUACAGAAGGCAGCAGUGGUUUUCUUCAUCAAUGCCUUAAAGUCUGACCAGAAAGGACAAUAGCUGAAAGGGAAAUUCAGCCUUCAGUUGCUCCUCCUGAGAAGGCCAAUAUAGAUAGAAUCACAGAAUGGUUUUGGUUGGAAAAUCCUUUUCAGGAAUUCAUGCAAACACUUUUUUCUUUAAUGACAUCCAAUUUAAAGACGUGCACCAAGCGAUUCACUUUGAUCUGUGACUUCCACAACACCCAGCAAAUGCAGCAGGAAAAGUCAAUGAAUGGCACUUUUUCUCCCUUAGAUUCGUGUCUUGCCUCACACUCACACAGCUUUGAUGGGAAACUGUAACUGAACCUACACUUGCUCAAAAAAGGGUCAUUUCAAAAGCUUUGAAGCACCUAUUAACAAGCCUGGACUGAAUUUCAAGUAGAUGACAACACUUGACAUGGGUUGAGUUUCGCUGGAGUUCAGGUUUUGUUCCACGUAAGGCACCGUUCCAGAUCUUUGUUGUCCUCGGUGAACUGGGAAACGCUCCCUGCUUCACGUCAUGAAGAGUGUUUCGCUGGCUCCUCACUUCUUGUGCCGUGGGCGGUCGCUGUUUUGGGCAGGCCUAUGUCUCCCCAGGGAAAGGACUUUCCAGCAAAAGAAAUCAAGAAAAGAAUGACUGAAUGGUUUAUCCUCCCUCUGCCCAGCGUCAGCCUUGUGUACAGUGCCUCGGGACCGCUGAGCAGCGUGAAGGGCUGCCUAGCAUGGAAGCGUCUCCAGGUGCUGGUGCUCAGAGUGACAGAGAGCGAGCCAGCAGUGCGUGCUCGUAGCCCUGAAAGCCGGACGCGUCCCGGGCUGCAUCCAGAGCAGUGGCACCAGCAGGGAGGGAGGGGAUUCUGCCCCUCUGCUCCGUGAGACCCCACCUGGAGCCCUGCGUCCAGUUCUGGAGUCCUCACCACAGGGAGGACAUGGAUCUGUUUGAGCGAACCCAGAGGAGGCCAUGGAGAUGAUUCCAGGGCUGGAGCACCGUCCGUAUGAGGACAGGCUGAGAGAGUUGGGGUUGUUCAGCCUGGAGAAGAGAAGCCUCCAGGGAGACCUUAGAGCAGCUUCCAGUGCUGAGAGGGGCUCCAGGAAAGCUGGGGAGGGGCUUUUUCCAAGGGCCUGGAGUGAGACGGUGAGGGGGAAUGGCUUUAAAUUGGAAGGGGGUAGAUUUAGAUUAGACAUUAGGAGGAAAUUCUUCACAAUGAGCAUAGGGAGGCCCUGGCCCAGGGUGCCCAGAGCAGUGGUGGCUGCCCCAUCCCUGGAGGGGUUCCAGGCCAGGUUGGAUGGGGCUUGGAGCCCCUGAUCCAGUGGGAGGUGUCCCUGCCCAUGGCAGGGGUGGGACUGGAGGGGCUCUGAGGUCCCUUCCAACCCAAACCACUCCAUGAUUCUAUGAUUCUAUCCAGCACCAAAGUGGAGCACCCCAGAGGUUUACAGCCAUGUGAAUUCUGGUGAAAGGUCUCUCUAAUCCCACCAUCCAGCCCUUUUUUGUACUGUGUUUACUUUCCUCUUUCUCAUUCUCUUUUUUUCCUCUGCCCAUCCUUUGCCACACAUUUCUUCCAUCUCUCCUCCUCGUUCUUCUCCUUUUCCCUGUUCCACUCUUUUUCCUUGUGGCCUUUCCUUUUCUAAUGUUUACCUACCUCGGGCUGGGCCUCUCCCGCAGCCGCUGCCAGGCCGCCGGUUCCUGCCACACUAAAUCAGAGCUCCCGGAGUCAAUGGCUCCUCUCAGUCACUCACAGGAGGUGCAAAUCCAGUGGGGCGAAUUAAGCAGAGCGACGCACAGGCAGAGCGGCCGAGUAGCCAGAAAGGCUUCAGCAGCUAAAAUUCAAGUGGGUUCACAUCGGUUUGGUGUUUUUCUCGCUUCGAUUUGCUCAGUUGAUGCUGAAUUCUUUUGAGUACAGCAUUUUCUGUUUGUUUUCUUCCUUUUCGCUACUGCCUUCCCUUUCAGCUAUGCCCACGCCUGUCAGGUUUGGUGUAGUCUGUGCUUUCUCUCUGGUUUCUCAUAUUUGGGGUGGUUUUGCUUCGAAGCAUUGAGUCUCCAUCCCUGGAGGUGUUUAAAAGACGGGUAGAUGAGGUGCUCGGGGAUCUGGUUUAGCAGUGGAUGGGUAUUGUUGGGCUUGAUGGUCUCAAAGGUCUUUUCCAACCAAGUGUUUCUAUGAUUUGUGCCCUGAGAGUCCUUUUGCUUUCUGAGAGCACCACGUUCCCCUUUGGCUGCUGUCAAGGUGUCACAGAGGUUCCAAUUGUGUGGAAGUGGAACUUUGGAGCCUCCUAACUCCGCAGGGCAACAACGAAGAGAAAUUCAGUGUAAAAUUCAAUUGUGCUCAUCGCUGCUUCAGUGUGUGAGCUGUUCUGCUGUACAGACAUUGCGGGGCUGGAGCGUGUCCAGAGGAGGGCAAUGGAGCUGGGGAAGGGGCUGGAGGACAGGAGUUCUGGGAGUGGCUGAAGGAACUGGGGAGAAAAGGAGACUAGGAGAAAACCUUAUUGCCUUCUACAGCUCCCUGAAAGGAGGUUGUGGUGAGGUGGGUGCUGGGCUCUUCUCCCAAGUAACAAAUGACAGGACGAAGAAGUGGCCUUAAGUUGCACCAGGGGAGGUUUAGAUUUGAUUCUUUGCUGAAAGAGUGGUGAAGCAUUAGAACCAUCUGCCCAGAGAAGAGACCUCUGAGGAGGUCUCACUAAAGCAGAGCAGAGCAGAAUCCCUUUCCUGCUGGUCCCACUGCUUUGGAUGCAUCCCAGGACAUGGUUGGCUUUCUGGACUGUGAAUGCGCAUUGCCGGCUCACGUUGAGCUUCUCAUCCAGCAACGUAGCUUUCAAAUUAUAGCAAUAGUGCCUGAAAUCUCUUUAUAUAUUCUAGAAACAAAAAUUUCACAGCUGCAUCUUGUGAGUUGCACGAAGGAGGCUGAGGUAUCAGGACCACACACAUGUUCUUUCCCAACUGAGAUAAAGGCCUGGACAGAGAUCCCACCCCACAGACUUAAUCAUCCCAAAUGAUCCCAGUAGAAACUUCUUAACUUUAAACUUCGGCCCUCAAAGAGCAGAAUUUCCCAGUGGAGCAAUGCACGCAAACUGCCAUCUGUUAAGGCAAAAGAGCAAGCUUGAAAGAAAAUUGCUGGUGAUUCCAAGGAGUUCCUGGAGCUGAACCUGAUUGCUGUCAAUUGGGGUGUGGUUGAGAAAUCCUUGAUCAAAGCACACUCCCAGGCUGUGGUCCUUAAGGGCUGGCAGCUGCUGUCUGCCUCAGCCUACAGUUUAAAUGCAUCUUGGAGACAACCACCCCCUGGUUUUAUCUGUAUUGUGGGGCUGUGUGCUGCAGAAGAUGCUCUCUUCGGCAUGUUCAGGUUUGCUUGUUUGUUUUCUUUUUCCGCUUUGAAAUACACGGCAAACUCCUCAUUCCUUAAGGUGUUUUGUUUCUUUGCAGUUGAUAAUCUGUGUUUCAUUAACAUUAUUCUGUGUCAGAGGUUGGGAAACUCUCUGCCUUCUUUCUGAUGCUUUUCCUCCUUCGCUGUUGUUCAUGACCCGGUGGAACAGUCUCUUGUCACUGAUACCUCGAUGUUUAAAGAGCCUUGGAUUUGGAGAACGUGUUUUUGUAGCUAUUUUUUUGAAGGCUACGAGUAUUGAUUAAUAUAUUUUUAUUCUUUGCAUGCAAAAUUCUUUGCAUGAAUAAACUAGGAGGGGAGCUGUGGUCUGGCAGGAUGUUGGGUGUGCUCUGCCGCGCAGGGAAUUCUGUUCCUUACUGUGCUUUCCAGCUGCUGGAAGUGUCCUAGGAUUCAGAAUCCCUAGAGAUGCCUGUUGGUUUUCUCCAGAUUCCUUAUUCUCUGCUCCAUACACAAGCUUAUUAAACCACCGUGGUUGUGUUUGCUGCUUUACUGUUCACUUCCAUUCUGUUCCAUCUGGGCUUUUACUACUGACACAUUGCGGGAGCACCUCAGAGCAGCAGCUAGCUGUCUUCUGCUGUUCUGUGUGCUUAUUUUGUGGCAUUAUUUUGUUGUGCUUAUUUUUGCUUUUUUUGUGGCAUUAUUUUGUGCUUAUUUUGUUGCUGGAAAUCAGCGAGUUGUGCCGCUCCCUGGCUUGUCGCCCCUUUGCUUCUAGUCUGUGAUAGCUUAGUGAAAAAAUCAAUAGGAGGCAAAUAAGUAGACACAAUGCCAUCCUUGCAGAUAGGGAGGACUUGUGGGCAGCCAAGAGAUUGUGUAUGUCCUUUAAGAACGUUUGUGGAGAAGGAGUUACGGUCCAAGAAUGCGCAAAUAGCUGCCCAUCCUGGCACUGUGUGACUGCGAGAAGGGAGAAGUGCUAAACCAUCUCUAAGCUUGAGUAGCAUCCGAAUCUGAAAGAUGUGUCUUGCGUUGUGGAGCUGGUGGGGGUGAUUUGUCUAGGUGAGUGAAGAAGAAACUACGUGAAUGGAAUCUCUUCUUUACCUUAUCUCUGCUGAGGGCAGAAAGUGGAGGGAGGUGGCUGGUGAGAGCUGGUGGGCUGCUCUGUCCUUGCAUGGGCUCCAUCCAGAAGCCUGGUGGCUCGUGCAGCCCCACAGGGAGAAGGGCAUCUCGCCGAGUCAGCCAGGAAGGCCGUCUGCUGCCUACGGUUUUCCCAGGAACGCAUGUCCUCGGGAAGCAGAAGGUUCGCAGAGGCUAUCAGCAGAUGACUUUGGUGCAGAGACUUUUUUAUGACUGCAUUAAUGUCUGUUUUCCUGUUGUUGUACAGAAGUUGCGACUCCGAGUGUCAGUGGGGAGGUGAAAGCGGGACCUCUUUUGCAUGGAGGGAGCACUACAAGCUAGCCGUUAUGCUAAUUGUAGAAGAAAAUCAGCACUGCCUGGCAGCUGUUUACUAUCAGAUAAGUUUGCUGUUGUGUUGUUAGUGUUUUAACUCUUUGCGCUCAUCUACAUUGUUUUGUACACGGUCAAAUCCAUAUCUCCCCCUGUCCUCUCUUACUGCUUAACCUGAGGUCUGUGCCCGAAAAUCCUCAUGAGCUCAGCUUUUAGACAGGGUGGAGGAGUUGGGGUUCUUCAGCCUGGAGAAGAGAAGGCUCCAAAGAGACCUUAGAGCAGCUUCCAGUGCUGAAAGGGGCUCCAGGAAAGCUGGGGAGGGGCUCUGGAUCAGGGAGUGCAGAGAUAGGAUGAGGGGAAAUGGUUUUCAGCUGAAAGAGGGGAGAUUGAGAUGAGAUCUUAGGAAGAAAUGUUUUGCUGUGAGGGUGGGGAGGCCCUGGCCCAGGGUGCCCAGAGCAGUGGUGGCUGCCCCAUCCCUGGAGGGGUUCCAGGCCAGGUUGGAUGGGGCUUGGAGCCCCUGAGCCAGUGGGAGGUGUCCCUGCCCAUGGCAGGGGUGGAACAUGGAUGAUCUUUAAGUUCUCUUCCAACACAAACCCUUCUACAAUUCUGUAAUUUGGCAUCAGAGCAGAAAAAUGGGAGAUAGGAAGAGUCUUCCAGUGUGUGAUAACACAAUGUUUGUAAUCAGUUGGGAGAGGAGAGCCUCUGGCUUCAAGGAGCGGGCUUUCUCGGGAUGUACCCAUCCAGUGUUUAACAGGACCAUGUCGAGAUGAAAAUCCGUGAUUAAAAUCGUGCCUUGCUCGUGCUGCUAAAAAUGCUUCUAGAUUAUACACGCUUAUAAAGGGUAAAUAUUAACCAUGUAGGUUUACUUUUACUGGUUUACAGAAAGCUCAGUGGGGCUGACAGAGCAGCGAGGGAUGUGUUUAUAGCGAGCUCACCGGGCGGGUACAAUGCUGCAGUGUUUGGCGGCGAGCACCACUGGGGCACGCUUGAAAAAAUAGAGUGUUCCAUUUACACUGGGGGGGGGGGGAAUUCUGAGAAUGUUUCUAUUAAUAUUAGCUGGUGUAAAACCCCAAAUUCUACAUUUCGGGCCUUAUAUGUUUCAAAAAUAGAGGAUUGGAUGUUGGUUGGUGAGGAUGUUGGGCCUCUCGCUGCAGGGAAGACGUUGAGGGGCUGAAGCAUGCCCAGAGAAGGGGAAUGGAGAUGGGAAGGGGCCAGAGAACGGGGGUUCUGGGAGUGGCUGAGGGAUCCGGGGGUGCUCAGCCUGGAGAAGAGGAGGCUGAGGGGAGACCUCGUCACUCUCUGCAGCUCCGCAAAAGGAGGUUGUGCUGAAGUGGGUGCCGCUCUCUUCUCCCGAGCGGCAAGGGACAGGAGGAGAGGCAAUUGCCUCAAGUUGUGCCAGGAGCGGUUUAGAUUGGAUAUUAUAAAAAAACAUCUUUACUGAAGGAGUGGUGAAGCCCGGGCAGAGGCUGCCCGGGACAGUGGGGGAGGCUCCAUCCCUGGGGGUGUCCAACAAUUGUGUGGAUGUGGCACUUAGGGACAUGGUUAGUCGUCAGGAUAGCGUUGUUUUGAUGGUUGGAGGAUGACCUUAGAGAUCUUUUCCAACCUCAGCGAUUCCAUGAUGUGGGGUAAGAACAUUUCCUCACUUCAGUAGUCAGUGAAAGGGACAGUCAGGGUGGCAGCUCUUCUUCCAGGAGAAGAAGGUGGUUGCUGAAAUGACCUGAUGAAGGUCUGGUGUGAAAUGGAGAGUUUGAGCACGCAGAGCGAGGCAGCAAACCGUGGGCAGGUGGGGGCACGGGCCAGUGUGCAGUCCCUGUGACUUCCCACGGACUGGGAGCUGGAGCUCAGGACCACAGCUGAGAGCCCAGAUGUUAUCAGCGGGCAUGUCCCUAAAAGGUGAGAGGGACCAGAUACAACGCCCUUCCCGGGCAAUAAGAUGCCCACACCUCCCACCCUCGCAAGAUGCUGUUGAGGAUGGUGGGAAAUCCACUGCCACGUUCAGGGAGGUUCUCCAGACGUUAGCUUUGAUCUUGGCUGAGGUCUUAUCUGAGUCCCAGCUUCUGUUCUGGAUUAUAGUGAUGUUAAAGCUGAUCUAUCGGGUCAAAACCAAUGAUGUUAAUUAAUUAGCACAUAUUAAUUAACUGACACAACUGAUAUUUGAGUUUCUGGAGAAGUCCUAGGGAACGAGUGGCUGCAUCUACCUCUCUCUGAUUUCCUCAGAAGUUAUCUUCGGCUGAGAAGGGAGUUUAUGUUGAUAAUCUGAUUAAACAGCUGGCAGCUUUUUAACUCUUGAAGAAGAAAAGAUUAACUUCUUAAGUAGAAUUCUUGGGCUGGUUGUCAGUAAAGUCUUCUGUUGAAGGAAAGCAGCAUUAGGAGGUAGAGGUCUGUGUUAGGGCUGGCUAAGCUCUCUAUGGUGAAAUACAGCUAUAUAUAUAAAAUUUAAGCUGAAAGAGAGGAGAUUGAGAUGAGACCUUGGGGAGAAAUGUUUUGCUGUGAGGGUGGGGAGGCCCUGGCCCAGGGUGCCCAGAGCAGUGGUGGCUGCCCCAUCCCUGGAGGGGUUCCAGGCCAGGUUGGAUGGGGCUUGGAGCCCCUGAUCCAGUGGGAGGUGUCCCUGCCCAUGGCAGGGGGUGGGACUGGAUGGGCUUUGAGGUCCCUUCCAACCCAAACCCUUCUGUGGCAAUGAAGGCACAGUCAAGAGGUGUGCGCAGGCCGUCUAUUGAAACAUGGCCUGUAGCUCAGUUUGUAAAGAAAGAGUUGUGUUAUGCUGAUGCUUCUCCUGGAUGCGCAAUGGCCCCCAGAACCGCUUUCUCAUAGAAAAGAUCAUCCAGUUUGACAUUUCUCCCUAAAAUCUCGUCUCAAUCUCCCCUCUUUUGGCUUCAAACCGUUCCCCCUCAUUCUAUCCCUGCACUCUCUGAUCCAGAACCCCUUCCCAGCUCUCGUGAGCUCCAAUUCAAGCAAACCCCACCAUCUGAGACCCAAACUGAAAUUCAUUGACUCCAGCAUCAGCGCCGGCCUAAGCUCCCUGCUCCGCUCUGGC